rfam:Pygoscelis adeliae contig98896, whole genome shotgun sequence.
AAAAUGGCCAUUUUCAUGGCCAUUUUCAGAGAAAAAAAAAACAUCU